AAAAUUUGCCGAAUUCCUUUAAAUUAUUUUUAAAUAAAUUUUAUUUUUAUUUUUUUUUUCAUAUACUAAUUUUAUCAUUAUAACUAAUUUUUUUUUAUUAUAAAUUUUUUUUUUAUAUAAAUUUAAAUAUUAAAUUAAAUUUUAUUUUAAUUAAAAUUAUUUAUAAUAAAUUAUAAUUUUUAAACAAUAUAAAUUUUAAAAAUUUUAAUCAUUAAGUUUAAUUUUAUUAUAAAUAUUUAAAUUAAAGCUUAUCCCCUAAAAUAUUAAAUAUUAAAUUUUUAUAAUUAAUUUAAAAAAUUAUAAAAUUAUUUAAAUUUAAAAUUAAAUUUUUUUCUAAAAAAACUAGAUAUAUUUAAAAACGAUUAACAUUUCAUUUCUAAUUAAUUAUUAAAAAUAAUUAUACAACAUUAACUUUAUUAAUUAAUUAACUCUUUUAAAUUCGAGAUUUAUUUAAAUAAAUUAUUUUUAUUUAAUAAACUCUGAUACACAAGAUACAAUAAAUUAAAUUUACUUUUAAAUUAAUUAAUUUCACAUAUUUAUAAUUUCCUUUACAGUAAUAUUUCACUAUAAACUUAUUAAUUUUUUCUAUUAAAAAUACUUAAACCCCCAUUUUUUCUUUUUAAUAUUAAAAAUUUUUUUAUUAAACUUACAUCAUUAAUUUAACCCC
rnacentral:rRNA from 1 species